CCGACCGACUGCCGACCACGCCGCGUCUCAGCGUCGCAACGUUUGACAUUCAGCGCGCGACAACAUUCGAACAACCUCAAACCGCCUUCCCAGUAGGAAUUGCUCUCUAGUGUUAUCGCUCCGAAACUGUUACAAACUUAUCGAGGACUGUUCGAAGAGUUAUUUGACGUCGAUUUGGCAAAGUUCACAGAGUGUGAUAAACUUUAUUUAUGAUAACCUUGAUGAUAUUUUGAAAACUCAUAAACGAACUUUAAAACAAGUUUUAUCGCUAUGAGCUCGUCCGAGAAUUUGAUGUAAUCGGAUUGAGUGAGUGUAUCGUCAGAAUAAAAAAGUUGUAGUGCAUAAUUUUUGAAAGUGAUCGUGUUUGUGACUGAAAAAGACACCCGGAGUCUCGCUCACGAGUUCACGGGUCGUUAAGUCGGAGGAGGAGAGAAUCCGAGAAAGAGGUCUUCGUUGCGUCCGCUCAUCGGAGUGAUAAAAUUUAUGACAAACGGUUUAACAAAUGGUUGAGUUAACAGAGAACAUCUCUUCGGCCGAAACAUGAUUUGGUGACAGUCCUAUAAUGACAGUGGCGGCGCGCGCGCGAGAAGGGAGCGUCAGGAUGAGCGCGGG